UACGGAGGGUGCAAGCGUUAAUCGGAAUUACUGGGCGUAAAGCGUGCGUAGGCGGUUUGUUUAGUCAGAUGUGAAAGCCCCGGGCUCAACCUGGGAACUGCAUUUGAUACUGGCAGACUAGAGUAUGGUAGAGGGGGGUAGAAUUCCUGGUGUAGCGGUGAAAUGCGUAGAUAUCAGGAGGAAUACCAGUGGCGAAGGCGACCCCCUGGGCCAAUACUGACGCUGAGGUACGAAAGCGUGGGUAGCGAACAGG
rnacentral:rRNA from 1 species